rnacentral:rRNA from 1 species
GCCUAAUACAUGCAAGUCGAGCGAGGUAAUAGGGAAGCUUGCUUCCUUAUUACCUAGCGGCGGACGGGUGAGUAACACGUGGGUAACCUGCCCUUUAGACUGGGAUAACAUCAGGAAACUGGUGCUAAUACCGGAUAGGAACUUUGGUCGCAUGGCCGAGGUUGGAAAGGUGGCGCAAGCUACCACUAAAGGAUGGACCCGCGGCGCAUUAGCUAGUUGGUGGGGUAACGGCCUACCAAGGCGACGAUGCGUAGCGGACCUGAGAGGGUGAUCGGCCACACUGGGACUGAGACACGGCCCAGACUCCGACGGGAGGCAGCAGUAGGGAAUCUUCGGCAAUGGGCGAAAGCCUGACCGAGCAACGCCGCGUGAGUGAAGAAGGUUCUCGGAUCGUAAAACUCUGUUGUUAGGGAAGAAUAGCAGAUAGUUGAAUAAGCUAUCUGUGUGACGGUACCUAACUAGAAAGCCACGGCUAACUACGUGCCAGCAGCCGCCGUAACAC